rnacentral:rRNA from 1 species
GACGAACGCUGGCGGCGUGCUUAACACAUGCAAGUCGAACGGACAGGCCCUGCUUUUGUGGGGUGCUCGAGUGGCGAACGGGUGAGUAACACGUGAGUAACCUGCCCUUGACUUUGGGAUAACUUCAGGAAACUGGGGCUAAUACCGGAUAGGAGCUCCUGCUGCAUGGUGGGGGUUGGAAAGUUUCGGCGGUUGGGGAUGGACUCGCGGCUUAUCAGCUUGUUGGUGGGGUAGUGGCUUACCAAGGCUUUGACGGGUAGCCGGCCUGAGAGGGUGACCGGCCACAUUGGGACUGAGAUACGGCCCAGACGCCUACGGGAGGCAGCAGUGGGGAAUAUUGCAGAAUGGGCGGAAGCCUGAUGCAGCAACGCCGCGUGCGGGAUGACGGCCUUCGGGGUGUAAACCGCUUUCGCCUGUGACGAAGCGUUAGUGACGGUAAUGGGUAAAGAAGCACCGGCUAACUACGUG